UACGUAGGGACCAAGCGUUGUUCGGAUUUACUGGGCGUAAAGGGCGCGUAGGCGGCUUGACAAGUCACUUGUGAAAUCUCCGGGCUUAACUCGGAACGGCCAAGUGAAACUGUCAUGCUAGAGUGCAGAAGGGGCAAUCGGAAUUCUUGGUGUAGCGGUGAAAUGCGUAGAUAUCAAGAGGAACACCUGAGGUGAAGACGGGCUGCUGGGCUGACACUGACGCUGAGGCGCGAAAGCCAGGGGAGCGAACGGG
rnacentral:rRNA from 1 species